GGCCUCGUGGCGGAGCGGCGACGCUGGAGACUGCAAAUCUCUGAAGCCUCGGUUCGAUCCCGAGGCGAGGCCUCCA
rnacentral:tRNA from 6 species